AACGGCACAUAGCUGGAUAUAGAUGGCUUUCAGAAACUGCUGGAUCCUCUUCACUCUGGCUUGCUGAUAGUUUUAUCUUGCAGCAUUAUUCUGAACGUUGCUCUCAUUUGUAUAAGAUGUAAACUGACCUGUACACACUGUGCAGAUGAAAAGAACAGUGAUAUAUCAAAAGUG